rnacentral:lncRNA from 1 species
UUGCGGCUCAAAAUAGGUCGAGAGGAAGCAUAUGUAUUGAUGUUAUUAUUUUGUCUGCGUUUCUUAUGUCAGCCACGACAUGGGAUCUUGGUCAAAAGUCUUCAUGAAAGAAUUGUCUUUAUCUUUUGAAGAUAGCUAACUCAUCCUAAUGUCUCCGCUCCUUGAUAAGAUUUGGUAACGAGUCGGAAAGAAAAAUAUUUGGGACACGAAGCGGAAUAGUAUUUUGAUUCCUUUUACGAGAUGCCCUUUCAAAUAAAGAAAUAAUAUUAUUUAAUCAUUGUAUUUAUCUUAUACAUAAUAAUUAUAUUAUAAUAAUCGAUUAAUAAUUUAUUUAAUUAUUAAA